UACGGGGGGGGCAAGCGUUGUUCGGAAUUACUGGGCGUAAAGGGCUCGUAGGUGGCCAACUAAGUCAGACGUGAAAUCCCUCGGCUUAACCGGGGAACUGCGUCUGAUACUGGAUGGCUUGAGUUCGGGAGAGGGAUGCGGAAUUCCAGGUGUAGCGGUGGAAUGCGUAGAGAUCGGGAAGAACACCAGUGGCGAAGGCGACGUGCUGGGUUGCGACUGACGCUGAGAUGCGAAAGUGUGGGGAGCAAACGGG
rnacentral:rRNA from 1 species